GAGAGACUGUAGCAGUUGACCUAACCGAUAAGGUAAGACUUUCCAGCACCACACUAGGACAUUAACCUGGGGCGUAGUUUCAAUAUGAUUUCCUUACUGGAAGUGGAGAAAUCCAGCAUGGCGAUGAGGGUCAACUGAGUAUGGCAUAUGCUACUGAAAUGGAAAAGCUGCCAAAUGUGAGAUAUAUUUCAUUUGAUUUCCAUCACUAUUGUGGCAACUCAAACCUCGACAAUAUACAAGUUCUCUAUGACCAAGUCUCUGAGGAUCUUGAAAAGGAAGGG